GACUCAACCGACUCAGGUCGAGUAUAGAUUUUUAAAAUCCUGGCACGACUUGACGCACCCUUACUAGGGAUGGCAUGGAAGAGCACUAGUAAGCCAGUGACACCAUAAUAGGGUCCGAGGCAGAGAAUCCCAUUCGAGAGAGGGGAGCCGGCCAGGCAGAGGCAGCAAGGGCGGUUCGUCAUUCCAGUGCCUUGCCAUUCACCUUCACACCCCUGGGUCUUCCACAUUGUCAUCGAUAACCAAUAGUACAACCUUAACGGAAACUUUAAAAAUUUAACUUCACCAAAGCCUCUUACAACCAUGUAGCCACAUUUGGACUAGAUACAGUGACUUAUAUGCACAGCUACCAUAGAUAGUAGUCUGGCCUUCAUUUUUACCAUACUUUCUUUAUUGGUCAUUUGCACUGAUAUUAUGUCACAGUGACCAAGCUGACAGACAACACAAACAUCACAGACUGGGAGCAUCUCAUGGGCACUUAGGGGUAAAGCAGUAGAUAGUAUGCAGAGAUAUUGUAGCUGGUAAUCCUCUGGCUGACAGAUCACUCCCUGCAGAUUUCCCCAAAGGCAGCUCGGGGGUUUGAAUAUUGGCCUGCCUUUCUAACCUCGAAGCUACUGCCGCCCCUAUUCAUUUUGCUCUGUCCUCACUCCCUUGCCUUUGUUCAACCAUUUGACUUGGUUUAGCAACCCUUCCCUCAAAGUAUUUAACUUAGAAAUGUGGGUGAAACUAUCCCUUAAUAUCUCACCCCUAGCGGUUAAGCCUAGCAGUUAAGAGUGUUGGGCCAGUAACUGUGAGGUCGCUGAUACAAAUCCCAGAGCCAGGUGGAAGAAUAUGACACAUUUAGGUUUUUAAUUCAUUCAGUUUGGCAACUGAUUGGCUACCCGUUUUACCCUCUCUUUUGCAGCGGAAGAGGUGGACCAGGAAACGCUCUUGCUUUUGAACGACUCAUCUAAAGAAGAGCAUAAAAGCCUUAACACAAGUCAAAUGUGAGAGGGCAGCCCAGGUGACCAAGUGGCUGAACAACAUCUGGCUGGCAAACCAGGUUGCGGAGUACAUGAAGGAGACCGCGAUCCAGUGGGUUCAGUGGACCAAACAGAAUGAGGCCAAGACAGUUGAGAUAGUCCAAGAGUAUCCACAUCUGUUGGAUACUCCAGGCGUGUGCAUGCGUUCAACAAGCUUUGGACGAAGGACUUCCACAGGGCCGCCUUCUCCAAAAUUCACUCAAAAAGGCAACAAUUCUGAACUGGGUUUGAUUUCAUUUUUGUUGUUUUAAUUAAAAAAUGUUUGUUAAUUAUCUUUUAAACUUCCAUUGGUUCAUAUAUUGCUCAGUUAUCGCUUGGCUCAUGUGAAUAAAUCUGUAUUUAUCCCUUUAAACUCCAACAACAUCCCCAUAGUGUUCA